GAGGGUCAGUUGUAUUGGAGGCCAUUUUGUGCACAUGGUGGAGCCGCAUGGUGGGGUUUCGGCGGCCAUUUUGGGUACAGGUUUCGCUUUUGAGUGUGUAAGGGGAUAAAGUUGGAGCGGGGGUAAUAGGAGGUGGAUAUACAAUAAAGGAUUAGAUACAAGGAUACAUAGGCGAAUUUGAAUAAAGGGACAAUUACAUAUAAAUAAAUAUUGUAGAGGUUAAUUAAAAAAAAAAGAGGGGAGAGAGGGGCAGAAGACGAAGUAUUAGUGAUUGUUGAAUUGGCUUAACAGUUGCAUAAGGGGAAGUGAACAAGUAGAGGCAAAGAGAGCGGGGGAGGCCGGUAGGGCCUGGCUGUGGGACAGCGAGUGUUUGGCGACGUUACCUGACUGGUAGUGGCUGGAAAACAGUAACAAUGCCUCCAAAAAAAGGGGGUGGCAUUAGAAAAGGGAAGAGUAAGGCUAAGAAGAGGGCUGUUCCUCAGUUGUCCCCGCCUCAGUCGUCGUCUGAUGAUGAAUCAUGGGCGAUGCUAAAGGAGUUACAGGCCAAAGUGGCGAGUUUGGAAGCGAGGAAUUCUGGGGGGCUGGUUUAUGGAGGCCAUGAGGUUACGCCACAUCGUUCUGUUAGGGAAACUAGGGGGCGCCGUAGGGCUGAAAUAAGAGCUAUGACUAUGGAUCUAAUGAAGCGUUUUGAUGCACUUGAUCCUGAGCAGGGGCGGAAUCCCUAUGGGCUGGAGAUGGAGCAGGACGAGGAAAUGACGCCGGUUGGUGCUGGUAGGCGCCCAAGGGUGACCGCAGCACCAGACGCUCCGGACCCAGGAGAAGGAACGUCCCACGUGCAAGACCCUCUGGACGAGCUUCCUUACAGUGGAAGAGGGGUGGUCGAGGCUUCAGGUGACCCAAGGAGGAUGUCGGGUGAGUACGAAGCCUCUCACAAUGCAAGUAGUCAGGCGGCACAGUGGCCAUGGAUGGGAGGAUUACAACAGUCGGGAGUACCACCUAACGCUUGUACAACACCGGGUGUGACAUGGCCAGGCAGUUUUUGGCCACCUAUGGGGCCACAGUGGUUUGGAUGGGGUAUGCCGAUGCAGCCCCCUUUACACAACACACCGGCUGACGAAGGUAAGAGAGGGGUUAUGCGACAGCACCCAUCAGUGCCAAACACAGGGUAUAACACGGUCCCAAUAACUUCUAUGCCGUACUCGGAUUACAGUACGCCACUGGGCGACCAUUUGACGCCCGCAGUUAAGGAGCGGAUUUGGAGAGGCGAUUUCAUUGAUUUUUAUGAUCUCCUUAACCGGGAAUUUGAAGUCAAGGAAAUCGAUAAGGACGAUGAGAAGUUGAAGGAAAAACAUAGGCGUAAACGGCCAGAUAGGAAUUGGAACAAUUGGGUCACGGGUUUCACCAUAUACGCAGGUGUAUUGGUGAAAAUGCAGCCGUGGAAGGCUUCGGCCUUGUUUCAAUACUUCGAUAUUAUGCGUAGAGCGAAAGCUGAGUUUGAGGGCCAGGCUUGGGCGCGUUAUGAUGAGGCGUUCAGAAUGCGAAGUGCGAUUAGACCAGAGAUGCGUUGGGAUGAGACACACCCAGGGCUCUGGUUGCAGCAUAUGUCCCCAGCAAAAACAAUCCUGGGCGAUAGGUUUGAUUGCGGACACUUGAAUAUAAAGUACUUGAGUGGUGCAGGUGCCCGCCAGGGGGCGGGGCAGGCGGUUCAACCCCGCCUGCCUUGCUUUGAAUUCAAUAACAAGGGAUCCUGCAAUAAACCCCAAUGCAGGUUCCGCCAUGAAUGCAUUGGAUGUGGGGGAAGACACCCGCGGAGCACCUGCUUUAGAGCAGGGGGGCAGCAUCAGAAUAGGACAGGGGGAACACAGAGGAAGUCUGAUGGCGCGAGCGGAGCUCCUGGAAAGGGGUCCAACGCCAAUCAGAGUUGAGGUGUUACAGGAGGGUUUGGCGGCAUAUCCCAAUAGGGAGGAUGCUAUGUAUUUGUAUUUCGGUUUUAAGUUUGGGUUUAGGAUUCCCGCAUCGGGGGUUAGGAAGGCAUUUAUGGCACAAAACCUGAAGUCUUUGCUGGGUUUGGAGGCGGUGGCGAAGGAGAAAAUUAGUAAAGAGGUUAAGGAAGGUAGGGUGCUGGGGCCGUUUAGGGAGCCACCCUUAGUUAACUUGAGGGUGUCGCCAUUGGGGAUCGUGCCCAAGAAGAGGAGAGUUUAGGCUGAUACACCAUUUAUCCUUCCCGGAUGGGGAGUCAGUGAAUGAUGCUAUCCCGGAGGAGUUA
ensembl:lncRNA